rnacentral:miRNA from 1 species
CCCAUGGAGCUCAGUUCUUAAG